rnacentral:lncRNA from 1 species
CCCAGGUAGAUUGGAAGGAGCUCUUUUGUCUGCUGCCAAUCACUCUUGCCAACAUUUGUUUUUUAAAGAUAGCAAUUUGCUUGACGGAUAAUCUGCCUUGGUUUAUGAUUAGCAUCUCUGCUGUCGGCCUGGACCCCCCUGGCACGUACUCCAUAAAUCACUAGCUUUUUUGCGACUUCUCAAGGACCUGCCAAGAACACCAUGUGCUCUCUUCAACUCCGUUUACCAAGUUAAGAUUUGGCUGCAGCUCGUCAGAAUUGGGAAUUGGUUUUACAACCUCUGAUGUUCCUCUCAACCCUCAGAAUCUACAAUAUUCUGCAUUAGGUACUUUUGCAGAAUUCUUUACUUCUGUCUGCCAGGAAGUAUCAGGUCAGCCGUGUUUGAAGGAGGGACAUGAAUGCAUCCCCUCCUUAACCCCCUUUAUGAAGAGAAACGCACCUCAGCCACAGAGACCGGGCCCGGGGUGCCGCUGUAGGAACCACUUUGUGGAAAGUUAGAUUUAUUCUUUGCUAAAAUGGAAGAACCCUGAGCGCAGGGACCGUGGCGGGCAGCUCUGUCCGCGCAGACACUUGGUAAGCCUUUCUCUCCUGGGCAUGUGGGAAGCCACACUCCCCUGGCCUUCGCGUGUGGUCAGGGCCGUGUGCCUGGUCCUGGCCUAUAGGCGGUGAGAGGAAGUGACCUACGUCCUGUCCAGGCUGAGGCGUUUAAAGCCCCUGCAUCAUUCGCCGGUCUCUCGCCUCCUGUUGAGGCGACUGGAGGAGGCUGGCGGUGAGAGGCACAGACGCAGUGUGGAAAGAGCAGCCCGGUGCACGGUGCACUUUGAGCAAGGAGGAAACGUGAGUUGUGUCAAGCCGUGAAGACUUAGGGACUGCUUUUUACCCCGACAUAGCCCAUCCUGUCCUGAGAAAUGUAGAAAUUUUGGACUUAAAAACUGAGACAUCAUUUACAAACAGUGAAACACUCAGACUUUAAGUGUGCGGUUUGAACUGUUUCGACAAAUGCCGAUACUCACGCAGCCCACACCCAUUUUAAGACACAGAACUUUACUGUCACCCAAGACAGCUCUCCUGUGCGCCUCUGCAGUCA